CCUCCCAUCCGUGUCUAUUGUACCCUGUUGCUUCGGCGGGCCCGCCGCUUGUCGGCCGCCGGGGGGGCGCCUCUGCCCCCCGGGCCCGUGCCCGCCGGAGACCCCAACACGAACACUGUCUGAAAGCGUGCAGUCUGAGUUGAUUGAAUGCAAUCAGUUAAAACUUUCAACAAUGGAUCUCUUGGUUCCGGCAUCGAUGAAGAACGCAGCGAAAUGCGAUAACUAAUGUGAAUUGCAGAAUUCAGUGAAUCAUCGAGUCUUUGAACGCACAUUGCGCCCCCUGGUAUUCCGGGGGGCAUGCCUGUCCGAGCGUCAUUGCUGCCCUCAAGCCCGGCUUGUGUGUUGGGUCGCCGUCCCCCUCUCCGGGGGGACGGGCCCGAAAGGCAGCGGCGGCACCGCGUCCGAUCCUCGAGCGUAUGGGGCUUUGUCACAUGCUCUGUAGGAUUGGCCGGCGCCUGCCGACGUUUUCCAACCAUUCUUUCCAGGUUGACCUCGGAUCAGGUAGGGAUACCCGCUGAACUUAAGCAUAUCAAUAAGCGGAGGAAAUU
rnacentral:rRNA from 1 species